rnacentral:rRNA from 1 species
AUAAGUAACGAUAAUGCGGGUGAAAAACCCGCACGCCGGAAGACCAAGGGUUCCUGUCCAACGUUAAUCGGGGCAGGGUGAGUCGACCCCUAAGGCGAGGCUGAAAAGCGUAGUCGAUGGGAAACAGGUUAAUAUUCCUGUACUUGGUGUUACUGCGAAGGGGGGACGGAGAAGGCUAGGCUGGCCGGGCGACGGUUGUCCCGGUUUAAGCGUGUAGGGGGAGUGACCAGGUAAAUCCGGUUGCUUAUCAACCCUGAGGCGUGAUGACGAUGCACCACGGUGCAGAAGCAGUUGAUGCCAUGCUUCCAGGAAAAGCCUCUAAGCAUCAGGUAACAUUAAAUCGUACCCCAAACCGACACAGGUGGUCAGGUAGAGAAUACUCAGGCGCUUGAGAGAACUCGGGUGAAGGAACUAGGCAAAAUGGUGCCGUAACUUCGGGAGAAGGCACGCUGGCGUUAGGUGAAAGGACUAGCUCCUGGAGCUGAAGCCAGUCGCAGAUACCAGCUGGCUGCAACUGUUUAAUAAAAACACAGCACUGUGCAAACACGAAAGUGGACGUAUACAGUGUGACGCCUGCCCGGUGCUGGAAGGUUAAUUGAUGGGGUCAGCCGCAAGGGGAAGCUCUUGAUCGAAGCCCCAGUAAACGGCGGCCGUAACUAUAACGGUCCUAAGGUAGCGAAAUUCCUUGUCGGGUAAGUUCCGACCUGCACGAAUGGCGUAAUGAUGGCCAGGCUGUCUCCACCCGAGACUCAGUGAAAUUGAACUCGCUGUGAAGAUGCAGUGUACCCGCGGCAAGACGGAAAGACCCCGUGAACCUUUACUAUAGCUUGACACUGAACAUUGAGCCUUGAUGUGUAGGAUAGGUGGGAGGCCUUGAAGUGUGGACGCCAGUCUGCAUGGAGCCAACCUUGAAAUACCACCCUUUAAUGUUUGAUGUUCUAACUCGGCCCCAUGAUCUGGGGUGAGGACAGUGUCUGGUGGGUAGUUUGACUGGGGCGGUCUCCUCCCAAAGAGUAACGGAGGAGCACGAAGGUUAGCUAAUCACGGUCGGACAUCGUGAGGUUAGUGCAAAGGCAUAAGCUAGCUUGACUGCGAGAGUGACGGCUCGAGCAGGUACGAAAGUAGGUCUUAGUGAUCCGGUGGUUCUGAAUGGAAGGGCCAUCGCUCAACGGAUAAAAGGUACUCCGGGGAUAACAGGCUGAUACCGCCCAAGAGUUCAUAUCGACGGCGGUGUUUGGCACCUCGAUGUCGGCUCAUCACAUCCUGGGGCUGAAGUAGGUCCCAAGGGUAUGGCUGUUCGCCAUUUAAAGUGGUACGCGAGCUGGGUUUAGAACGUCGUGAGACAGUUCGGUCCCUAUCUGCCGUGGGCGUUGGAAGAUUGAGAGGGGCUGCUCCUAGUACGAGAGGACCGGAGUGGACGAAUCACUGGUGUUCGGGUUGUCAUGCCAAUGGCAUUGCCCGGUAGCUAAAUUCGGAAGAGAUAACCGCUGAAAGCAUCUAAGCGGGAAACUUGCCUCGAGAUGAGUCUUCCCUGGGGCUUAAAGCCCCCUGAAGGAACGUUAAAGACUAUGACGUUGAUAGGCUGGGUGUGUAAGUGCAGCGAUGUAUUGAGCUAACCAGUACUAAUGAUCCGUGAGGCUUAACCUUACAACACCGAAGGUGUUU